AGUACGAGAGGACCGGAGUGGACGCAUCACUGGUGUUCGGGUUGUCAUGCCAAUGGCACUGCCCGGUAGCUAAAUGCGGAAGAGAUAAGUGCUGAAAGCAUCUAAGCACGAAACUUGCCCCGAGAUGAGUUCUCCCUGACCCUUUAAGGGUCCUGAAGGAACGUUGAAGACGACGACGUUGAUAGGCCGGGUGUGUAAGCGCAGCGAUGCGUUGAGCUAACCGGUACUAAUGAACCGUGAGGCUUAACCUUACAACGCCGAAGCUGUU
rnacentral:rRNA from 1 species